CCAUCAGCUAGUUGGUGAGGUAAUGGCCCACCAAGGCGACGACGGGUAAGGGACCUGAGAGGGUGGUCCCUCACAAUGGCACUGAAACACGGGCCAUACACCUACGGGUGGCAGCAGUAGGGAAUAUUGGGCAAUGGGCGAAAGCCUGACCCAGCAACGCCGCGUGUACGAUGAAGGCCUUCGGGUCGUAAAGUACUUUUCUGGGAGAUGAGAAAGGACAGUAUCCCAGGAAUAAGCUUCGGCUAACUACGUGCCAGCAGCCGCGGUAAAACGUAGGAAGCGAGCGUUAUCCGGAUUUACUGGGCGUAAAGCGCGUGUAGGCGGUUUGAUAAGUUGGAUGUGAAAUCUCCUGGCUCAACUGGGAGGGGUCGUUCAAAACUAUCAGACUUGAGGACAGUAGAGGAAGGUGGAAUUCCCGGUGUAGUGGUGAAAUGCGUAGAUAUCGGGAGGAACACCAGUGGCGAAAGCGGCCUUCUGGACUGUAUCUGACGCUCAGACGCGAAAGCUAGGGGAGCGAACGGGAUUAGAGACCCCGGUAGUCCUAGCCGUAAACGAUGUAGACUUGGCGUCGGUGGGUUCAAAGCCAUCGGUGCCGAAGCUAACGCGAUAAGUCUACCGCCUGGGGACUACGGCCGCAAGGUUAAAACUCAAAGGAAUUGACGGGGGCCCGCACAAGCAGCGGAGCGUGUGGUUUAAUUCGAUGCUACACGAAGAACCUUACCCAGGUUUGACAUGGAGGUGGUAGGAAACCGAAAGGUGACCGACCCUUCGGGGAGCCUUCACAGGUGCUGCAUGGCUGUCGUCAGCUCGUGUCGUGAGAUGUUCGGUUAAGUCCGCUAACGAGCGCAACCCUCGCUGUAUGUUACAAGUGUCAUACGGGACCGCCGGUAUCAAGCCGGAGGAAGGUGGGGAUGACGUCAAGUCAGCAUGGCCUUUAUAUCUGGGGCUACACACACGCUACAAUGGCCGGUACAAUGGGUUGCUAAGCCGCGAGGUAGAGCCAAUCCCCAAAGCCGGCCUCAGUUCAGAUCGUAGGCUGCAACUCGCCUGCGUGAAGUCGGAGUUGCUAGUAAACGCGCGUCAGCUAUAGUGCGUUGAAU
rnacentral:rRNA from 1 species